UGACGCUUGGACUAGAUGGUCUUAGAGUAUUUUCCAAUCUUAAUGAUUCUGUGAUUCUAUGACUUCAGAGCCCAUUUUCCCUGCUCUGUGAAGCAUCUGUAAGAGGCGCUGCAACAACAGCGUUUAAUAACCUCAGCGCAGUUGCCGUGCCGGUGCAUACCGGACCCACGGAGAGCCCGGCAUUACGCUUUCGCACAGACCUCGGUUUGGGUGCUCAUAUCGCCGCGGCCGACGCAGCGCGGUACCCCGAACCUGCGAGCUCUCGUUGCCAUUCAAAACCAAGUCUGUACGAGGUAUAGCCGCUAACGGCUCCGCCCUACCCCGCCUCGGGGCGCGGCGCUCCCUAUCCCGCACCGCGUCAACCCGCUGCCAUGGCGGCAGCCCGCGGCUCGGCCCCGCUGCAGUACGGCCGCAAAGCGGUUCCUGCUCCAGCCGGGCUUGGGCGGCUGUGUUCCUUUACCCCGGUUGCUGCCUCUCGGUCCGGCCGGGCCGCCGAGCUCAGGUAAUGGUUUCCCUGUUCGGUCUGAGGAGAGGCCGCCGAGGGUUGUCUGUUCCCCCAGAGCUGCCCCUGGCACUUCUCGAAGCGUCUGCGGCGGCGUGGGUCGUUGUCCUUUCCGUUGUUUCCCCUUGGAAACGGAGUCUGUGAGGUGCUUAGGGGACCUUGUGCCAAGUGUGCGUGUUGGAGCUUGUGUAAUAGAUGGGAGGAUUUCUCUGUGGAGUUUGUACUGAAGCCUACCUCACCAAGUUCAGAAGCAGGGUUGAGAAGACGAAUUUCUACUAACACUGUUGUGUAGUUCAUUCCUCCCCUGUAGUUCAUGUUGCUGGUUCAUUCCUCCCCUUUUUAACCUGUAAACAGAAGGGAUAAUGCCCGCCUUUCAUGAAGCCUUUGGAGUCGUUAGCUGAGGAGCAAAACAGAAGUCAAAGUAUUGCCGUCAUGGGUGUUGAUCUACACCUGUACUGCUACAUUUGGAGAAGUAGACAGGUGUUGUCACUACUCUCAGCUUCUUCUGUGUUUUCUGAAGCAGGAAUAUGUCACAGAGCUUUGCUGCUGGAUCUAGGAAAUAUUCUGAAACUGUAAAUGCUGACAGUCUGUGUUGGACACCUUCCAUAAAUUCAAAACCUAGUGUAUGCUUUGAGAACAUGCCAUCAGAAAUGCUGAUAAAGGUAUUUUCCUAUUUGGAUGCUGUAUCCCUGCUGCACGUUGCUUGUGUGAAUAAGCUCUUCUAUCAGCUGGCCAGUGAUAAGUAAGGAAAGUGUGCUAGUCUUACUUGUACAUCAGUUGAGUUUACCUGAGUUACUAGUCUUCCUAAUCUAGUUUCAUUGAUGCCAGAGCACUGAUGAAUGGUACCCACUGGCAAUUACUCUGCUGAAAGUGUACUGCGUAGCUCACAGUACAAUGUGUUGCAUGGAAUUUUAGCUGUGCAUGCCCUAUUAACUUUAGUGGGAAGUAUCAGACAAAACCUAAAUACGAUGCCUUGAAAUGUUGUUGUUAGCAUUUAUUUUUUUGUAAAAUUUGCAUUUAUUUCUGUUUGUAUUCAUAACCACCUGCACUGGAUCAUUAGCUCAGGCAGUCUUUAGUGGUGCGUAGACAGUAGCUUUGUGGAAUUAAGCUUUUAUAACUGUAGAAGUCCAACUACUUUAGCUCUUUUUUUGGUCUGU